rnacentral:rRNA from 1 species
UACAGAGGGUGCGAGCGUUAAUCGGAAUUACUGGGCGUAAAGCGCACGUAGGUGGCUUGGCAAGUCGGGUGUGAAAUCCCCCGGGCUCAACCUGGGAACUGCAUUCGAGACUGCCUUGCUAGAGUAUGGGGAGAGGGAAGUGGAAUUUCCGGUGUAGCGGUGAAAUGCGUAGAUAUCGGAAGGAACAUCAGUGGCGAAGGCGACUUCCUGGACCAAUACUGACACUCAGGUGCGAAAAGCGUGGGGGAGCAAACAGG